rnacentral:rRNA from 1 species
AAACUAGCAUAUCAAUAAGCGGAGGAAAAGAAACCAACAGGGAUUGCCCUAGUAACGGCGAGUGAAGCGGCAACAGCUCAAAUUUGAAAUCUGGCCUUCGGGUCCGAGUUGUAAUUUGUAGAGGAUGCUUUUGGCGCGGUGCCUUCCGAGUUCCCUGGAACGGGACGCCUUAGAGGGUGAGAGCCCCGUACGGUUGGACACCAAGCCUCUGUAAAGCUCCUUCGACGAGUCGAGUAGUUUGGGAAUGCUGCUCUAAAUGGGAGGUAAAUUUCUUCUAAAGCUAAAUAUUGGCCAGAGACCGAUAGCGCACAAGUAGAGUGAUCGAAAGAUGAAAAGCACUUUGAAAAGAGGGUUAAAUAGCACGUGAAAUUGUUGAAAGGGAAGCGUUUGCGACCAGACCUUUUCCUGGCGGAUCAUCCGGUGUUCUCACCGGUGCACUUCGUCAGGUUAAGGCCAGCAUCGGUUUCCGCAGGGGGAUAAAAGCUUGGGGAACGUAGCUCCCCCGGGAGUGUUAUAGCCCCUCGCAUAAUACCUUUGCGGGGACCGAGGACCGCGCCUUUUGGCAAGGAUGCUGGCGUAAUGGUCGUCAACGACCCGUCUUGAAACACGGACCAAGGAGUCGAACAUUUGUGCGAGUGUUUGGGUGUCAAACCCUCACGCGUAAUGAAAGUGAACGGAGGUGAGAGCCUUUACAGGUGCAUCAUCGACCGAUCCUGAUGUCUUCGGAUGGAUUUGAGUAAGAGCAUAACUGUUCGGACCCGAAAGAUGGUGAACUAUGCGUGGAUAGGGUGAAGCCAGAGGAAACUCUGGUGGAGGCUCGCAGCGGUUCUGACGUGCAAAUCGAUCGUCAAAUCUGCGCAUGGGGGCGAAAGACUAUCGAGCAUCAAGCCCGU